CUAACUUGUCGGUGAUGUGUUCUAUUCCGUGUACUACUAAAUGUUCCAUCGAAAUGAUACAGGAGUCAUAAUUGUAUUGGACUUGCUAGAUCACCAAGCCCAGCACAGAAAAAUCUCUGAUUUCAUCUUCUCGAGAGAAGAUUUUAUAACUGAUCGGUGGUUUCAUUUGUUCUAAACUCCAGGUUUCUAAAUUUGCAUUGCAGACUUUAUCAGAAGUCAUGUUCUUUCAAGAAAGUCAACAAGGUCCCUUGUUUACUAACCUGGCUGCUAUCCUUGAGUCUCCCUUUUUACUUUCUUAAGCUGGCCAUCUUUAUUUGAGGUUUUCCUUCGCUACUUGUCAUAGACUUCAUCCACUGGUGAAAACCGACGAGAGAAUGCUGCA